AUUGAACGCUGGCGGCAGGCCUAACACAUGCAAGUCGAGCGGAGCGGCGGACGGGUGAGUAAUGCCUAGGAAUUUGACUGGUAGUGGGGGAUAACGUCCGGAAACGGGCGCUAAUAUCGCAUCCUUUCCGAUGAGCCUAGGUCGGAUUAGCUAGUUGGUGGGGUAACGGCCUACCAAGGCGACGAACCGUAACUGGGCUGAGAGGAUGAUCAGUCGAACUGGAACUGAGACACGGUCCAGAGGCCUACGGGAGGCAGCAGUGGGGAAUGAUGGACAAUGGGGGAAAGCCUGAUACAGCCAUGCAGCGUGAGUGAUGAAGGUCUUCGGAUUGUAAAGCACUUUAAGUUGGGAGGCGUUACCACCAGAAUAAGCACCGGCUAACUUCGUGACAGCAGCCGCGGUAAUAC
rnacentral:rRNA from 1 species